AUUGAACGCUGGCGGCAGGCUUAACACAUGCAAGUCGAGCGAGCGGCGGACGGGUGAGUAAUGUAUGGGAAACUGCCUGAUGGAGGGGGAUAACUACUGGAAACGGUAGCUAAUACCGCAUACCAUCAGCUGUGCCCAGAUGGGAUUAGCUAGGAGGUGGGGUAAUGGCGCACCUAGGCGACGAUCCCUAGCUGGUCUGAGAGGAUGACCAGCCACACUGGAACGUAUACACGGUCCAGACGCCUACGGGAGGAAGCAGUGGGGAAUAUUGCGCGAUGGGCGCAAGCCUUAUGCAGCCAUGCCGCGUGUAUGAAGAAGGCCUUCGGGUUGUAAAGCACUUUCUGCGAGGAGGCGUGACUCGCAGAAGAAGCACCGGCUAACUCCGUGCCAGCCGCCGCGGUAAUUC
rnacentral:rRNA from 1 species